rnacentral:rRNA from 1 species
AACGAACGCUGGCGGCAUGCCUAACACAUGCAAGUCGAACGAGACCUUCGGGUCUAGUGGCGCACGGGUGCGUAACGCGUGGGAACCUGCCCUUAGGUUCGGAAUAACUCCCCGAAAGGGGUGCUAAUACCGGAUAAUGUCUUCGGACCAAAGAUUUAUCGCCUUUGGAUGGGCCCGCGUUGGAUUAGCUAGUUGGUAGGGUAAAAGCCUACCAAGGCGACGAUCCAUAGCUGGUCUGAGAGGAUGAUCAGCCACACUGGGACUGAGACACGGCCCAGACUCCUACGGGAAGCAGCAGUGGGGAAUAUUGGACAAUGGGCGAAAGCCUGAUCCAGCAAUGCCGCGUGAGUGAUGAAGGCCUUAGGGUUGUAAAGCUCUUUUACCCGGGAUGAUAAUGACAGUACCGGGAGAAUAAGCUCCGGGUAACUCCGUG